UGAAGAAUGGCUUCUCCACACUAGCCGGGGAGGGGUGCCUCUCCCCACUGGUCAGGGAGCCGGAGGGCCUGGAGGAAAGGACUGGAAGAUCCCUUAUGGGCAUAAGGAGAUGCACCUUCUGACCUUAGAAAGAACCACCAGUCAAGUAGGGAUUGACCCUUGAUCCCAGAAUCCCAACUGCAAAGGGUUAUUCCAAACUCUAAACUGCUAUCAUAGUAUCUGGCACAUGGAAGAGACUCCAUAAAUGCUAGCUACUAUUGCGAUCGUUAUUAUCGUCAUUACAACACUGUGCUGGAAAGAAAGUCAUUUUCUUUUCGUUCCCUGGAGUAUGCUGAAACAUAAAACUUCCUCACAAUCUGCUACCUCACACCCUUCGGUUUCAGCUAAAGCACUUGGGUGCUUAUCAAAAUGUUUUCUAAAGUAAACACGGAUAUUGUUGCUGCCUUGGGGAUGCAUGACGUUUCUAGUUCCAACUCCAGAAGGACUGAGGAUGAUAUUUGAGUGGCUGUGAAAUGGUCACUGGCCAUCCCCAGUGUGGUUGCAUAGAAUUUACGGAUAGUGGUUGGAAGAAACUUUCCUGUGGGCUGGCAUUAGAGAAGCCAGUGGAAUGGUUUCAGCAAGGAUGCUCUGUUAAAGAAAGAAAGAAAACCAUGUACCCAUGAGACAGACUAUACUGUAAUCAUCUUAGCUCUUGGAUGGGUUGGAAAAUGGCUGUCAGAAAUCCUUUGGAUCGGUUACCCAGGUCACCCAACCAGUUAACCAGAAUACGUGGAUAUGUGUCUGU